rnacentral:rRNA from 1 species
CAGCAGCCACGGGAAUACGAAGGGGGCUAGCGUUGUUCGGAUUUACUGGGCGUAAAGCGCACGUAGGCGGAUCGAUCAGUCAGGGGUGAAAUCCCAGAGCUCAACUCUUGAACUGCCUUUGAUACUGUCGAUCUGGAGUAUGGAAGAGGUGAGUGGAAUUCCGAGUGUAGAGGUGAAAUUCGUAGAUAUUCGGAGGAACACCAGUGGCGAAGGCGGCUCACUGGUCCAUUACUGACGCUGAGGUGCGAAAGCGUGGGGAGCAAACAGGAUUAGAUACCCCCGUAGUCCCUGUCUCUUAUAC